UACGUAGGGAGCAAGCGUUGUCCGGAAUCAUUGGGCGUAAAGCGCGCGUAGGUGGCCUCAUAAGUCCGCUGUGAAAGUCAAAGGCUCAACCUUUGAAAGCCGGUGGAUACUGUGAGGCUAGAGUACGGAAGAGGCGAGUGGAAUUCCUGGUGUAGCGGUGGAAUGCGCAGAUAUCAGGAGGAACACCGGUGGCGAAGGCGGCCUGCUGGGCAGUGGCUGACGCUGAGGCGCGACAGCGUGGGGAGCAAACAGG
rnacentral:rRNA from 1 species